AAAAAAGACGCCGUAAUGUAUCUGAACGUAUUUUCGGCGGCGGUUUUUCUUAUGUCAAGUGUGGCUGUUUCAUCUGCAGCUGACGCUACCCUAUAUCCUCCCGACCAACCCCCCGUGGUUGUUGUAUACAACAAAAUUGUGAAAGAAGGUGAGACGAUACAACUUAACACAAACAUGAGUUCUGUGGCUAUCGAAUGUACUGUUGUAGGUGGAAACCCAAGUGUGUCAAAUAUCACCAUGGCAUGUGGCAGUAAUACAUUUACAAUUAACAAGUACAGUGAAGUGUUUAACCUCCCCUACACCAGCAGCGUUCAUAGAAUCCAAUGUACUUGCUCUGCAAAACACGUUACUGGACUAUACAAAAAAACAACUUCUUUCGUCUUUAGCACAGGCCACACAGCAGUGCUCUGGAAUUUCCUACUAUUGACGUCACUGCUCCUGGGUAGGACAGUCUUGUCCUUGGCUUCAGACUAAACCAGCAUUUACAUGACAGUCUAUCGCUUUUGUAUCACCAGCAUAUAAAAUACUUUAGAUUUUUUGCUACUUUAAAUCUGUUGUAUAUAAGCCUAUCUAUUGGUAUGGGAUACAUAUUGAACUCAUUGUAAUUUUUACGUUUUUCAAAAAUGUAUUACCAUUUCCAUUUUAUAUU